GGAUGUUGAUGAGGAUGGC
rnacentral:siRNA from 1 species